ACAGCUGCCAGAGAAUGAAGCAGAGGGCUGUGGGGUGAAGGGACUGCCAGUCUUCUGCCACUCCUUUUCGUGGUCCUUCCCUUCACUGCCUUCCUUCUCCCAGACAGACUGGGCAUCCAGUUCCAAUCCAAAGGCUGCCCCUUUGACCAGGCCCAUCUUCUCCACCUCACAUCAGACAGCCAAUCGGCUGCCCAGACCUCGAAACCUCAGUAACCUAGAAGGAAAUGGACCUUGGCAAACGUGUGUCAGGAGAGGAUGACUUGGAGGUGUCCACCGUGUUUCUUACUGAAGAUGUCUAAAAGUCAAUUGGGGUCAAGGAACAAGCCUCUACUCACAUGCAUGUGGGCAAAUGAAGUCACAGAACAAAUAACCUACCCUGCAUCCAGAGGCCCAUCUCGUGUUCCCACACAGGCACGGAGUCCAGGGACACCCCCUGCUGCUGCCUAAGAGAAAGUGGCCCAAGAAGCACUGGCCCGGUGCCUGCUGAUGCCAGGAGCCCUCUGCUACUGCCUGACACAAGCAUCCUGCGCUUCCCCCUCCCAGGCCCUCCCCGAAAGCGUGGGCCACAGGUACCACUCCCUAUGCCACUGAGCCCCACAUUUCCCAUCCCCCAAGCCACUCCCACCAGCCCCAGAGCUUUCCUACAUUUAUGAUUUGUCCAAAAAUGUGAUGCCCUUCAGCCCCCAGAAGGUCAUCCUCCAGGCUGUGAUCGUCACACAGGGGGUCCCACAUGGGGUCCUCACAGGCCUUCAACCCAGCACAAAUCGUGGCCUGGUUUGACCUUUGAAAUAUCUCAACAUCUAAAAUUCAGAGCUUUUUUGGAAUAUUUAUUUUCCAUAGAUAUAAUUCUUUCAAAUAAAUUCCUUAGAAAACAA
rnacentral:lncRNA from 1 species